rnacentral:rRNA from 1 species
UUAUAUGAGAGUUUGAUCCUGGCUCAGGAUGAACGCUGGCGGCGUGCCUAAUACAUGCAAGUCGAACGAGUUCUGAUUAUUGAAGGGUGCUUGCAUCUUGAUUUAAUUUUGAACGAGUGGCGGACGGGUGAGUAACACGUGGGUAACCUGCCCUUAAGUGGGGGAUAACAUUUGGAAACAGAUG